rnacentral:lncRNA from 1 species
AAGCCUCCUUGCCUGUCCGCUUGUACCUCUCACAAGCGUCCUAUCCUAACAAAUCUCUUUCUUGCCUAUUACUUUGCCUCACUGAAUUCCUUCUGUGAUGAGACACAAAGAACCUGAGCCUCAGGAAGUGCAGACACCAGUGUCAAUAAAGAGGAGAAAUGGAACAUGGGCUUGAGCUUUCUGCUGCAGUUCACUGCCACUGCCAUCUCUGGAGACUGGCCACUACAACACUUGAGUGUUGAUUCUCAGCCAGUGACAGGCAAACCCGUCCCUCGAUCUGAUCAACUGUCCCUGUUGAUCUGAGAACUAGAAGCCUUCAGCUCAGAGGAUGGAACUGGUUCCAAAGCAAGGACCUCCCUGGAAUGAGAGAUCAACUAGGUGUGAAAAAGCAUCCCAAAGCCUCUGGACUCACUGCCAAUGCAAUUAGCUGCUACAAAAUUUGGGUAGGGAGUGUCGUGUUUCUGGAAGUGUCCAGAGGGAGCUUGGAUGAGCAAUUCUUGGAAAGAUUUUUAAAGCUUGCCCCAAGAACUUGCUGGACUCUCAUGCCAUACGAGAGACCCUCAAAGGACACUGGAUAUUUACCUUGAAGAAAAGAAAACUCUGCUGGGAGAGAGGGGUGGUUAAGAAACACUAACCCAUUUGAUAAUUUUGUGAGUACAGGGGAGCUGAGCUAUUGCUGUGUAUUCCUAUGGAGAAAUAAAUAGUAAUAGAAAUUACCGAAGCACAUUCUAAUGGAAAGGGCUAGCCAGAUAGAGAAUAUGCCUCUGAAGAGGUAAUGAGGUUGAAGUGACUAUUGUAACUUUCUGGAAAUGAACUAGAUGUUGUGUAGUAAAUAGGGGGAAGUAGGUCAAUUCGAUCCAUUAGAUUUUAUAAAAUUAUAUGAUGCAGAAGCAAAGAGAGAGCUAUUGAAUUUUAGCUGCUAUUAUGGAAGGCUAGGACUGGACUACAAUGAUUGACCCACAAUCACAGUAAUUGUUCAGGUGGACUUUGUAAAUGAGCUGAAAUCAUUCUUUUGAAAAUAACUCUUCAAAGUGAGAAGAUUUCUCCAAUCCACAUUUUCUAGUCUGCUUGGCUGUCCCCUCUGGGCUCAGUCAAAGAAACCCAUGCAGUGGAAGUAUGUUUAGCAAUUGGGCCUGUUCCCAGGUUGCGAGACAUUUAGCAAAAAUCCAGAGUUAUUAUUAGAUCUAAAUGGAGGCUUUUGUCAAAAGGCCUCUUGAACUGUUAGGAAAUCAGAGUGCAAAUUGAUAAUGACACACAACACAUCCCUGCCCUGGCAGCUCCCCGAAGGCUGCUGAGAUACCCCAGAAAGAACUUGCAUGGCCUCAUGCCAACAGCGUGUUGCUCAACCCUCGUCCUUCUCCUAAGUCGGCUUGACAACUGCAUUCUUCUCUUCCUUGUAAGAGGCAGAAGGAGAUGGAUUAAAGAGGAUGUUUGAACUGAGACUAUUAAUUUCCUUGCAGUGUGUAUUCAAGUCAGAUCCCUUUAGAAGAGCCUUUUGUGGUUUCAUAAAAUUACAACUUUGGCUAUUCGGCUGCCUUUUCCAAAGUACAAAUUUGGCUUCUAAAGAAAACACACUUCAUAGGAAAAAAGGAAAGAAAUGAGUACGUAGUUAUCUUUAAAUAUAUUCAUUUUAUAUAAUCGUUCUGUUACGCAAAGAAACAAUUACAGUAUUAACUACUUAUUAAUAAAAGAAAUCAUAAAACAUAGUGUCUUCAUAAACCCUUUCAGGUUUUCAUGAGUUUUAUUUGAAAGAAGUUAAUAAAACAGAUUUUUUUUUUUUCCCUUAGAGUUUAUGAAUGGAAAAAUACUUUUUUAAACUAUCGGGCUUAAAAAUGAAUGUUCCUCCUCUUUCUAAGACUGUGGCAAUACUUUUUACCUUUUCAAGGGACAGGUGAGCAGUCAUUUCAUGGGUGAAGGGUGUGUGUGCGAUGUCUUGCAGAGACAUUGCAGCAUGGAUUCCUUCCCCUCCUCUUUCUAGCCCCGGCCUCUCUGGCUUCCUCUAACUGUGCCUUACACUGGAGUGCACAGGGAUGCGGCUCACUUAGCAUCUACGUUAUUUCGAUUCUUCUUGCCAGCCCCUGUUUCUCUGGGCCAAGCUCUAGCCCAGCACCUCACACGUGGCAGGAAGUCUGUUUUAUUGAAUGAAUCCCUAAAUGUGAUGCCUGGAAGAGGAGAGAUUCUUUUCUCUGCUCUGCGGGUUAGACAAACUUUGGUUGGUUGGAACUCAUAGAAAACAAAACCCAAUUUAGCUACCACUCCCUGGAGAAAGGCAGCUUGAGAUUUAGGAGUCACCUCCAGGGCUUGGGGAUGAAGUUCAGACACUAAAGCGUCGGGGAGGGGACAGAACACACUGUGAUUUUUCUUUUCAAGGGCCCCACGUAGCAUCUGCAACCCCACCUCUGGUCCUGAUGCUGUGUGACUUUGACCAAGCGCUGGUCCCCACUAGGUUUUCUCUUCUCGGGGGACCUCAGUGGUUCUCAAUCAGGGCUAUGCUUGAGAACCACCACUGGAGAUUUUUAAAACACCUAUGCCUGGGGCCCACCUCGGACCAAUACAUUCAGAAACCUAAUGGCUGUGGACCUGCUGUGUAUUUUUUAAAAAUUUGCAGGUGAUUCCAAAGUGAAGCUGGGUUUAAACUUUGGUGUCUCUCCUUUAAUAUGAUGAGGAUGACCUGGGAUCUCGUAAAAAUGCAGAUUCUGAUUCAGCAGCUUUUGGGUGGAGCCUGCAUGUCUGCAUCUGAAGCCAGGGCUCAGGUGAUGCUGGCUGUCUCUGGUGCACCUGGACAAGGACCCAGAGCCUGGAGCUUGUAAAACCUGGGGACUUUAAGGCCUCACCUCAGGCCCACUGAAUCGCAUCCUGCAUUUGAAAUAUUCCUCGGUGAUUUUUAAUAUUUCAAAGUUGUAUUUGAGAAACAACUAAAUAAUCCAUGAGAAACCUCCCCUGCCUCCACUUUAGACAGCCUCUGCUUACUUUCACCUGUUUUUCCUUCCUGUGCCCCUGUGCUCACCAUAACCCAGCAGCUGAGGCUCUUUGUACUUGCCCAGAUGUGUCCUGCGUGGCCUGACACUGCCUUUCCAACAUGACAUGGCCAUGCCCUUUAUAUGGACUAGAUCCUUCCCCUUUACCCACUCCUUUCCUACCCAACCUUCAAGAUUUGGGGAUGAAGUCCUCCAGGGAAGCUGAUGUAACUAUUUCCACCCACCACCCGACUCUAACUUGGCUCCCCUGUGCUUUCUUACACUGAAAGAAAAUUACCCAUAUAUGUGCUUCGCUCCCCACCGAGGAUGUACAAUUAAUUCUGAAUUGUCAAAAACUGAGUUUUGAGGGUUUUUUUCUGAUUGAUCAAGGUGCUGGCACAGAGUAUGCACUUGUACUUUUCCGUGUGGGUUCUGAUUAGGAUGGAGAUCUUAACAGAUCUUCCACAUCAAGCUCUUCUUCCUGCCCAGAGUCUUGGCAACACACCAUGUGGCUAGAGAAACGCCAAGUGGAUUUCCCAGCUCAGCCUGGCACUAAAUCUCACUUUUUUUGUCUUGAGGACAUGUUGGGACCCCUGUAAACUCUCCAAGGCUUGAGACCCCUGUGCCCCAGAGGAAAGUGGCUUUGGUGGGCUUUCCUCUGGGACGGGAAUAGAUAGAUGAGUGAGAAAGGCAUCCACUUGCUUGAUUUCUGUGCUCCUUGUAUUUCUGACAUUUAUCAAAGCUGACAUCGCUUGCCAAAGGCCAAGGGAGGAAGGAUGAAACAGAUCAUUUUCAUUUGCCUGGUGUUCUCUUAGCUGUUUCCCAGGCUGACUGAGAACAAUUUGCAUCCUGUCCAGGCCCCAUAAUUUCUGGUUGUUAAAGAAAGACACAUGGGUAUUGCCAAAGCAUCCUGAGACCUUGACUCAGUGUAGUGCGACUUGAAGGAUAUGGGAAAUGUGGGAGGGCCACUUACUUUGAUUUUCUUCGUGUGGCCCACACUGCACGUUUCCUGGAAGAGGACACUGAGCCUGCAUUUGCUCUCAAUCUAAUGUUGGAUUCAAAUUAUGAAUAUCUAUCAAAUUCAGUGAAUAUCUAUCAAAUUCAGUGAAUAUCUAUCAAUUCAGUGUCCUCUGUGUGGCAGACUCUUUGCUGAUGUUGGGGAGGGUGACUGUGAUGCAUCACAGAUUUUACCUUCAAGGCGAUGCUGGAUGUAGAUACAAAGGACCAUGCUGCUAAGCGUUUUCUUGAGGAAUACGGUGCCGUAAGAAUACAGAAGAAAAGGCAAUUAACUCUACCUCCUAUGCUGCCAAAAAAGAUAACAGGGGGGUAGUAUGUCAAGGGAAAUGUCUUCCAAGACAUUUUAUUCAAACUUAAAGUUUCUUUUCCUGUGUAACUAAUAACCCUGAAACUUAGUGGCUAAAAUAACAGCAAUUGUGGAUUAUAAGAGACAGUCUUGCUGUGUAUGGAUGGCUUUUACUGAUUUACGUAAGAGUAGGGACAGGUAACGAUUAUACUGACAAAAAUAAGAUUAAAAAUAACCCUAAAGUAUGAACUGAGGCAUCAUGCGUGUCCAUCAGCGAAAUGUACUUGUGCUUAAAGAGAGUUUGACUGCUGUUGUUCACUUGAAUUUCUCCUGGUCAGUGGGUCCACCUGGCGCACAGAUGGGAGUUGGAGAAAAGUUAGGGUGUGGUCAAAAACCAGGGAGUUGCAAGAUGCUGGCCUUGGCCUCAGUGGCCUGAAUUAAUCCACAACUCAAUGCAUAUUCAAGGCAAAUUUUGGAGAGCAUUUUGGAGGGAGAGUAGCAAGGUCCUGGCUGCAACAGAAUUGGCAAUGGACUGUGGAGAGUGGAACAAAGGAAUGAAACGGGUGAGGAUUUCAAAGCUAACUGGCAGCAGAUUUGAGUCUGGACUUGGUAACUAACCUUGACUAAAUCACGUUAUUAAUAUAAUUUUGCCAAGACAAAGGGCACAC